UUCCACCAUUUUCUUUCUUGUUUUCGUUUUUCUUCUUAGCUCCAAACUCUAGCAAAUUCUCACCAUGUUAACGUGGUCCUUCUUGAUCUUGGGAGUGCAGUUUCACGCCUUUGAGAGAUGAAAGAAAUUUGCUAGUGAAAGAAAA